AUGCUCGAUACUUCUUGUACCGGUUCUUUUAUGAUGAAGACUAUUAAAUUCAGAUGGGAUUUAUUGGAAAUAAGUAAACGCAACUCUGAAGAUUGGGAACUCGACGAAGGUAAGGAGUCAGGUAUAACCACUAAGUUUGAUUUUGUUAAAUCUUUUAUGGAUACCAAUGCUUUUCGUGAAUUUAGCACUAAAUAUGGACUUGACGCUGAGAUAGUAGCUUCUUUAUGUGAAUCAUUUGCUACUCAUGUUGAUCUCCCUAAGGAGAAGUGGUUUAAAUAUCAUCCUACCAUUGAAUUAAAGGUAGUAGAACCUAUUAAAGUUGAACAAAAAGCUAUUACUUAUAAUGUUAAUCCUAUUGUUCCUACUGCUUAUAUUGAGAAACCACCCUUUCCUGUUACAAUAAAGGAUCAUGCUAAAGCUUCAACUAUAGUUCGUAGGAGUAAUGCUAGAACACCUACACCCCCUAAGCAAAUUAAAGUUGAACCUAGUAUUUAUAUGGUUAAAGAUCUCUUGGUUGAUAAUAUUGAUGGGCAUGUUAUUUACUUGUGUGAUGAAGCUGCUAGAAUUGCUAGACCCCGAUACUAA
rnacentral:rRNA from 1 species